AUUCAUCUGAUGAGUCCCAAAUAGGAUGAAACGUGAGUCGUGGAC
rnacentral:hammerhead_ribozyme from 1 species